rnacentral:rRNA from 1 species
UGGGGAAUUUUGGACAAUGGGCGAAAGCCUGAUCCAGCAAUGCCGCGUGUGUGAAGAAGGCCUUCGGGUUGUAAAGCACUUUUGUCCGGAAAGAAAUCCUUGGCUCUAAUACAGUCGGGGGAUGACGGUACCGGAAGAAUAAGCACCGGCUAACUACGUGCCAGCAGCCGCGGUAAUACGUAGGGUGCAAGCGUUAAUCGGAAUUACUGGGCGUAAAGCGUGCGCAGGCGGUUUGCUAAGACCGAUGUGAAAUCCCCGGGCUCAACCUGGGAACUGCAUUGGUGACUGGCAGGCUAGAGUAUGGCAGAGGGGGGUAGAAUUCCACGUGUAGCAGUGAAAUGCGUAGAGAUGUGGAGGAAUACCGACGGCGAAGGCCAGCCCCAUGGCCAAUACUGACGCUCAUGCACGAAAGCGAUGGGGAGCAAACGAGGAUUUAGAUACCCUGGUAGUCCCACGCCCUAAACGAUGCUCAACUAAGUUGUUGGGGAUUGCAUUUCCUUAGUAACGUAGCUAACGCGUGAAGUUGACCGCCUGGGGAGUACGGUCGCAAGAUUAAAACUCAAAUGAAUUGACGGGGUC